rnacentral:piRNA from 1 species
AUACCAGGAGGACUUGAAACACGUAGCU